GAUGAACGCUAGCUACAGGCUUAACACAUGCAAGUCGAGGGGAAACGACAUCGAAAGCUUGCUUUUGGUGGGCGUCGACCGGCGCACGGGUGAGUAACGCGUAUCCAACCUGCCCAUCACUUGGGGAUAACCUUGCGAAAGUAAGACUAAUACCCAAUGACGUCUCUAGAAGACAUCUGAAAGAGAUUAAAGAUUUAUCGGUGAUGGAUGGGGAUGCGUCUGAUUAGCUUGUUGGCGGGGUAACGGCCCACCAAGGCGACGAUCAGUAGGGGUUCUGAGAGGAAGGUCCCCCACAUUGGAACUGAGACACGGUCCAAACUCCUACGGGAGGCAGCAGUGAGGAAUAUUGGUCAAUGGGCGGAAGCCUGAACCAGCCAAGUAGCGUGCAGGAUGACGGCCCUAGUGGGUUGUAAACUGCUUUUAUAUGGGGAUAAAGNGAGUUACGUGUAGCUUAUUGCAGGUACCAUAUGAAUAAGGACCGGUCUAAUUCCGUG
rnacentral:rRNA from 1 species